CAGGUAUUUCCCAUGACUUGACUUACUUAACCCCCAUUACUCUUAUAAUUUUUUUAUUGUUUUAGGACUGGAUUGCUACAUUAGUUCUAAGAAAAUAAAAUAGACAACACACAGCAUGUCAUUUAUGUCAUGUAACAAGUGUCUGAGGAAAAGCAGUGGAGGAAUAGCACAGCCAUGCCAUGGGACUGCCAGAGAUCCAACCUUCCACUGCCACAUUCGCAGGCAGGAUUUUCAUUGUCUUCGAGCUUGCCACUUCCUGCCCCAGACUGGCUGUUAAUUCUCAGUCAAGCCCAGACAACAAAAAGAAGAAAAGACCAAGGAAUGAAAGUCUGGGCCAGAUUACUUCCGGAGGCUCCUGAGUAUCAAAGAGCAAUCUAAAGGGAAAAAGUGGGAUAGGAAGUAACAAUUAUACCUAUUAGCAGAAUCUAUCUCAGACACUGUCUUCAUGCUGGGAGCCUCACACCACUGUAAUCGUAUGUACCUAGUGAUGGAACAUACUUGUGCUCUGGUAGACAGCAGGGGAAGAUAAGAUUUAAGACUAAGAUAGCUCAUAAAACAUGUA
rnacentral:lncRNA from 1 species